UCUUUCUUACUACCAAAGGAAUCCAGAUGCACUUUCAUUACCUCCUGAAGGUCCAAAUUCAGGUUACUUGGUGAUUCAAGAUGAGGAAUCUGAAACAUAUUGUUGUUUUGGACUUUGCAAAAAUUAUGAUAUCAUGGACAUGCCUAUCCCUCAGAAUAAGAAGCUGACUGUUCGAUAUGAAUCGGGUUCUGGUGAGAACAGGAGCGUUAGCAGGGACGAAGUGAUGUUCAUUCCAG
rnacentral:misc_RNA from 1 species